rnacentral:rRNA from 1 species
CCUACGGGAGGCUGCAGUGAGGAAUAUUGGUCAAUGGACGGGAGGCUGAACCAGCCAAGCCGCGUGAAGGACGACUGUGCCAAGCAUUGUAAACUUCUUUUAUCAGGGGACAAAAUCAUCCACGAGAGCCUGACCGUGGGUACUUGAAGAAAAAGCAUCGGCUAACUCCGUGCCAGCAGCCGCGGUAAUACGGAGGAUCCGAGCGUUAUCCGGAUUUAUUGGGUUUAAAGGGUGCGUAGGUGGGGUGUUAAGUCAGUGGUGAAAGCCCGGGGCUCAACCCUCGGAGAGCCGUUGAAACUGGCUGUCUUGAGAUGUCGAGAGGUAGGCGGAAUGCGCAGUGUAGCGGUGAAAUGCUUAGAUAUCGCGCAGAACUCCGAUUGCGAAGGCAGCACACUGGCGGCGAUCUGACGCUGAGGCACGAAAGUGUGGGUAUCGAACAGGAUUAGAUACCCGAGUAGUC